rnacentral:rRNA from 1 species
UGCUUAAUACAUGCAAGUCGAACGAAGCACCUUGGACAGAAUCCUUCGGGAGGAAGACCAUUGUGACUGAGUGGCGGACGGGUGAGUAACGCGUGGGUAACCUGCCUUGUACAGGGGGAUAACAGUUGGAAACGGCUGCUAAUACCGCAUAAGCGCACAGUACCGCAUGGUACAGUGUGAAAAAACUCCGGUGGUGUGAGAUGGACCCGCGUCUGAUUAGCUAGUUGGCAGGGCAACGGCCUACCAAGGCGACGAUCAGUAGCCGACCUGAGAGGGUGACCGGCCACAUUGGGACUGAGACACGGCCCAAACUCCUACGGGAGGCAGCAGUGGGGAAUAUUGCACAAUGGGGGAAACCCUGAUGCAGCGACGCCGCGUGAGCGAAGAAGUAUUUCGGUAUGUAAAGCUCUAUCAGCAGGGAAGAAGAAAUGACGGUACCUGACUAAGAAGCACCGGCUAAAUACGUGCCAGCAGCCGCGGUAAUACGUAUGGUGCAAGCGUUAUCCGGAUUUACUGGGUGUAAAGGGAGCGCAGGCGGAAGGCUAAGUCUGAUGUGAAAGCCCGGGGCUCAACCCCGGUACUGCAUUGGAAACUGGUCAUCUAGAGUGUCGGAGGGGUAAGUGGAAUUCCUAGUGUAGCGGUGAAAUGCGUAGAUAUUAGGAGGAACACCAGUGGCGAAGGCGGCUUACUGGACGAUAACUGACGCUGAGGCUCGAAAGCGUGG